rnacentral:rRNA from 1 species
AACGAACGCUGGCGGCAUGCCUAACACAUGCAAGUCGAACGAGACCUUCGGGUCUAGUGGCGCACGGGUGCGUAACGCGUGGGAAUCUGCCCUUCGGUUCGGAAUAACUCAGGGAAACUUGAGCUAAUACCGGAUGAUGUCUUCGGACCAAAGAUUUAUCGCCGAGGGAUGAGCCCGCGUAGGAUUAGGUAGUUGGUGGGGUAAUGGCCCACCAAGCCGACGAUCCUUAGCUGGUCUGAGAGGAUGAUCAGCCACACUGGGACUGAGACACGGCCCAGACUCCUACGGGAGGCAGCAGUGGGGAAUAUUGGACAAUGGGCGAAAGCCUGAUCCAGCAAUGCCGCGUGAGUGAUGAAGGCCUUAGGGUUGUAAAGCUCUUUUACCAGGGAUGAUAAUGACAGUACCUGGAGAAUAAGCUCCGGCUAACCCCGUGCCAGCAGCCGCCGUAA